ACCUAAAAAACUGAACAAUUUAUCCCUCUGCUCCUUUUUUGCUUUUCAAGUGCAACAGUAACUUUCAAGAAGGGCCACUGAUUGACCCCUAAACCUCUUGUAAACAACGUUUCUUGCCAAUAUCUCUGGAAAGUUCCAGUUGCCUAUCAAGGCCCGUUAAUGUCCAAAGGUCCUGUUUACUUGUUUAUCUGUUAACUGUUAAUGAAUUAAAGGGCAACUUGCCAAUUUUUUUAAUAGUCAUCAUGGGGCGUAUGCUUGGUGCUUAACUGAGCUGCUCGAAUCCUUUACUUUACUUGGACUAUAAACCGCCAGCUUAAAAUGCUGUUGCCUUGCACAAAGAUAUCUGAUAACUUAUGUUACAUAAUUGUUAUAGGAUUAUUUGCAAAUAACUGUUUGGUUGGUGUUUAACUAUUUCCGUGCACUGUUUGCUCAAUGCAGAAGCAGGUUUUAGUUGGUUUUCAGAACAACAAGUGUUGAAUAUGCAUUUUUGAAGACGUUUAACUUUCACUGAAUUUCAAGAAAUUCUUCAAAAAUUCCCGAUGGAGGCUUGGAAUUUUGCCAAUUUUGGAAACUAAAGCUUCGGUACUUCACUUGGUUUUGUCCUAGUUUCUGAAAUACGCCUCUCACUGAAAAGCUGCUGAUGUUGCAAAAAGUUG